rnacentral:ncRNA from 1 species
UAUAUUUUGGUUCUAUUGAGAAAUAGAUGAAAAGGGAAUUGGGUGAAAAUCCCGAGCUGUCCCCGCAACUGUAAAUUGCAAAAAAAGUUUCUACAAAAAAGCCACUGCUCACGCGGGAAGGCGUAGAAAUGCAAAAGCCAGGAGACCUGCCAGAUAUAAAU